UCCCUGAAGCCAUAUUGAUUCUCACUUAACAGCGCAUGCUUUUGUAUAAAGCUAUCAAGUCUGCGAGAAAAUAGUUUUUCUAAUAUUUUUGAAAAUUGUGGUAGUAGUGAUAUUGGUCUAUAAUUUGUAAACAAAUGUCUUUUUCCACUUUUAUAGAUUGGAAUAACUUUAGCAAUUUUCAUUUUUGAUGGAAAGAUACCAGCUUUGAAUGACAGGUUGCAUAUGUUACUGCCGAUGUUGACAAAAUACUCAUUAAAUUCAGUUGCUAUUUCUGCAGUUUUUUCCAAAAUAGUAUUUUUGCUUUUGAUAAAAUACUCUGGAUAAUCCAUUUUUUUAGGACUAUUUCUGAUUACUUGGUUAAGUAUUUUCCAUAUUUCUUGUGUGUUACCUUUAUUCUGCUCUAAUAGUGCAUGAUAAUGAUCUCUUUUACUGGUUCUUAUAAUAUUUACUAGUUUAUUUUUAUAGGUCUUAUAUUUUUUUCUGCUUCUUCAGUUCUGAAUUUUAAAAACAAUUUAUAUAAAUUGUUUUUCUUUUUACAUGUGUUUUCUAUGCCUUUCGUUAUCCAUGGCUUACUUGGGUCUUUAUACUUUUUGGAGACUUUAGUUAAUGAAAAA